AUUGCCCUGCGCCCCGAGCGGUCCCACCGCCCGGCAAAACACUGAGCAAGCCGCUGCUCUCACCUUGCUUGACACACUUGAGCCGGAGGGGGUCCUUGCAGUGUUUGAUCACGGCCAGCACGUCCCUGAUGGUGAGCCCCGCCACGGGGGUCUCGUUCACCUCCAGCAGCAGCUCCUCCGACACCAAUUUGCUGCCGCUCUCAUAGGCCACCUUGCCGGGCUUCACCUCCCCCAGCAGAGGAAGCAGUGGUGGUGGCGUCGGCGGCGGCGGCGGCGGCAGCCGGAGCGAGCAGUAGCCGAGCUGUAAUGUCUUACAAUAACAGAAUGCAGGAGAGCACAUAUCAAUGAAGAAAAGACAAAAUGUACUUAUCCAUGAAGCUGAGGUUAAGAAACCAGUGUCUUCAAGAGCCAGGGACAGCACUGGGUCUGUGCAGAGUUGAGAGAUGGUGAUGACAUGCCUACAGCACAGCUGAUGAAAGAGAAGACAUCUUGCUGCUAUUUGACAAGCAAGAAGAUAAAAGCUUUCCUAUAAAGAUGAUGGAGCAAAAAAAUAGAAGGGGCCUAGACUCCCUACCUUCACACUUCCUGCUAUAAAAGCAUUGCUAUUAUAAGGUUAAUCUGCAGAAACAGACUUCUAUGUCAUAUGCUUAAAUGCAUCAAAAUUCAUACAAUAUCCAUUAAAUUGGUAAAAGUAUCCAUUUUAAAGGAUUAAUCUGAGGGACCCACAGACACUUAACACAAUCAAAUCUCAGAAAAAAAAUCAGUUAUUUCAUUGUGAUUUUGAGGCUGAUCUUUUAUGAUCUUUUAGUUAUCAAACUGUUAAAUACAUUUUAACUUUCAAAUUUUAUGAAUAAAGGAGAUGAAUCCUGUUAUUUUCUCAGUG
rnacentral:lncRNA from 10 species